UCUGGUUGAUCCUGCCAGUAGUCAUAUGCUUGUCUCAAAGAUUAAGCCAUGCAUGUCUAAGUAUAAAUAGUAUACAGUGAAACUGCGAAUGGCUCAUUAAAACAGUUAUAGUUUAUUUGAUAAUUGACAAUUACAUGGAUAACCGUGGUAAUUCUAGAGCUAAUACAUGCUUAAACGCCCGACUUUAUGGAAGGGUGGUAUUUAUUAGACUGAAGCCAAUAUUCCUUGUGUCUAUUGCGGUGACUCAUAAUAACUGAUCGAGUCUCUUUUUGAGAUAAAUCAUUCAAGUUUCUGCCCUAUCAGCUUUCGAUGGUAGUGUAUUGGACUACCAUGGCAGUAACGGGUAACGAAGAAUUAGGGUUCGAUUUCGGAGAGGGAGCAUGAGAAACGGCUACCACAUCUAAGGAAGGCAGCAGGCGCGUAAAUUACCCAAUCCUGACUCAGGGAGGUAGUGACAAGAAAUAGCAAACCGGGAACCUCAUGGUUUCACGGUAUUGCAAUGAGAACAAUUUAAAACCCUUAGCGAGAAUCAAGUGGAGGACAAGUCUGGUGCCAGCACCCGCGGUAAUUCCAGCUCCACUAGCGUAUAUUAAAGUUGUUGCAGUUAAAAAGCUCGUAGUUGAACCUCUGUCUGGGGCUAGUUUUGGCUUUGGUCAGGCUAGUUCUAGGCAUCCGCCUACAAGACUUAGAGGGCAUUCAGUUGUUCACUAGGAGGAGUAGGCAUUUUACUUUGAAAAAAUUAGAGUGUUUAAGGCAGGCAAUCGCCCGCAUAUAUUAGCAUGGAAUAAUAGAAUAGGACACUUUUCCAUUUCGUUGGUUAUUGGAAUCGUGUAAUGAUUAAUAGGGACAGUUGUGGGCAUUUGUAUUUAAUUGUCAGAGGUGAAAUUCUUGGAUUUAUUAAAGACAAACUAACGCGAAAGCAUUUGCCAAGGAUGUUUUCAUUAAUCAAGAACGAAAGUUAGGGGAUCAAAGACGAUCAGAUACCGUCCUAGUCUUAACUAUAAACUAUUCCGACUCAAUGUUUGACUGGCUUAUAUAACCAGUUGAGCGUUGUAUGAGAAAUCAAAGUCUUUAGGUUCUGGGGGGAGUAUGGUUGCAAAGCUGAAACUUAAAGGAAUUGACGGAAGAGCACAACCAGGAGUGGAUUCUGCGGCUUAAUUUGACUCAACACGGGGAAACUUACCAGGUUAAAACAAUAGUGGGAUUGACAGUUUGAGAGCGCUUUCUUGAUUGGUUGGGUGGUGGUGCAUGGCCGUUCUCAGUUGG
rnacentral:rRNA from 1 species